rnacentral:rRNA from 1 species
GACGAACCGUGCGAACGUUGUUCGGAUUCACUGGGCUUAAAGGGCGCGUAGGCGGGCCAGCGAGUCGGGGGUGAAAUCCCACGGCCCAACCGUGGAAGAGCUUUCGAUACUGCUGGCCUUGAGGGAGGUAGGGGCGUGUGGAACUUCCGGUGGAGCGGUGAAAUGCGUAGAGAUCAGGAAGAACACCGGUGGCGAAAGCGCUCUGCUAGGCCGCAACUGACACUGAGGGACGAAAGCUAGGGGAGCGAAUGGG